GCGCUCCCGUGCCAUCAGCUAGUUGGUGAGGUAAUGGCUCACCAAGGCUUACGGCUAGGUGGACUGAGAGGUCGGUCACCCGCACUGGGACUGAGACACUGCCCAGACUCCUACGGGAGGCUGCAGUCGAGGAUCAUUCGCAAUGGGCGAAAGCCUGACGAUGCGACGCUGCGUGUAGGAUGAAGGCCUUCGGGUCGUAAACUACUGUCAUGUGGGGCAAGGGAGCCGGUACUAAUAGUGCCUGGCUUUUGAUGGUACCACAAGAGGAAGCCACGGCUAACUCUGUGCCAGCAGCCGCGGUAAUACAGAGGUGGCGAGCGUUGUUCGGAUUUACUGGGCGUAAAGCGUGCGUAGGCGGUCGCGUAUGUCGGAUGUGAAAUCCCGGGGCUCACCCCCGGAAGUGCAUCCGAAACUGCGUGGCUAGAGACCGGGAUGGGUGACUGGAACACAUGGUGUAGCGGUGAAAUGCGUUGAUAUCAUGUGGAACACCGGAGGCGAAGGCGAGUCACUGGAACGGAUCUGACGCUAAGGCACGAAAGCGUGGGAGCAAACAGGAUUAGAUACCCUGGUAGUCCACGCCGUAAACGGUGCACAUUUGCCGUAGGGGGUAACUUGACCCCCCCGUGUGGCGUAGC
rnacentral:rRNA from 1 species